GCGGCCUCGGUACUGACCGAGAUUCCCAAAGUUGUCUGACCUCUGCAAAAGUGUUUCUAUCAACAGCCUCUGAUUACAACAUGGCUGAGAUCACAAAUAUACGCCCCAGCUUUGGGGUGUGCUGGAGAGCUUCGCGUACCUACAAGGAAUACUUGCACUGGUCAGCAUCCUUCUGUGGGCCUGCAAUCCUAACCGACAAGGGCACAGAAGGCAGCUGUGCUCACACGGCUCUGAGAGCUCCCUUCACAGGCACUCCUCUGACCCAAGGAGUAACAACACACAGAACAAGCAGCAAGGCACAACUCCUUUCCUCGGAGGGGCAACUGGACAGCCUUUAACCCUUUAAAAACCAGGGACUGAUUUUCACGGGUUCUGACUUCAGCACUGCAUCAUCCAGGCCCGUCCUUCUCCCCUCCAGUGUCUGGUCCUGCUGGGGUUCCCACAGACUGGCCGUCAGCAUUGGCCGAGUCCUCAAGCUUCCCUGGAGGACCGCUCAGCCCCCCGCCCUGGCCCAUGGAGGACAGAGUGCUUUUUGGCAGUCCUCUGCUUGCAUGACUACUUGUUCGUCCCUCAGCAGCAGCGUCUUGGGGCACAGAAGGGGAUUUGGCGGCCUGCGUGUCUUCCCUCUGCAGGACUGUCUGUUUGCUCAUCUCACUGGCACUACUCGGCUUCUCCUGUGGGGACUCACUGUCUAAUUCCAUAGAGCGUUCCUCUUUCACUUCCUCCCCAAUGUCCUGCUUGGGAAGGUUGCUGGAGAUUUCCACCAUGCAAUCUUCAGCUUCCAUCUUGACCAUAUUUAAUAAAUCCUUCGAUGGAGAGCUCA
rnacentral:lncRNA from 1 species